UACAGAGGUCUCAAGCGUUGUUCGGAUUCAUUGGGCGUAAAGGGUGCGUAGGUGGCGUCGUAAGUGGGGUGUGAAAUCCCGGGGCUUAACCCCGGGACUGCAUUCCAUACUGCGGUACUUGAGGACUGGAGAGGAGACUGGAAUUUACGGUGUAGCAGUGAAAUGCGUAGAGAUCGUAAGGAAGACCAGUGGCGAAGGCGGGUCUCUGGACAGUUCCUGACACUGAGGCACGAAGGCCAGGGGAGCAAACGGG
rnacentral:rRNA from 1 species